ACGGAAGGCAGCAGUGAGGAAUAUUGGUCAAUGGGCGGAAGCCUGAACCAGCCAUGUCGCGUGCAGGACUACGGCCCUACGGGUCUUAAACUGCUUUUGCAAGGGGAUAAAGUGGGGCACGCGUGCCCCUUUGCAGGUACCUUGCGAAUAAGGAUCGGCUAACUCCGUGCCAGCAGCCGCGGUAAUACGGAGGAUCCGAGCGUUAUCCGGAUUUAUUGGGUUUAAAGGGUGCGUAGGCGGGCUGUUAAGUCAGCGGUGAAACCCCCGGGCUCAACCCGGGGACUGCCAUUGAAACUGGCGGCCUUGAGUACGUUGGGAGUGCGCGGAAUGUGUGGUGUAGCGGUGAAAUGCAUAGAUAUCACACAGAACACCGAUCGCGUAGGCAGCGCACUAAGCCGCAACUGACGCUGAGGCACGAAGGCGCGGGGAUCGAACAGGAUUAGAUACCCUGGUA
rnacentral:rRNA from 1 species